GCCCUACUGAUUCCCUGCCCAUCAGACCUAAGCCCUGGUGUGAGUGGUUAUAAAAGGAGGAAAAAUAAAAUUGAAACUGUGAUAGGCAGGUUUAUUGUGCCGACCUUGGCAAUAGGAACAUGU
rnacentral:snoRNA from 1 species